rnacentral:rRNA from 1 species
AUAAUUUUUAUCUUACUUUAAAUAAUUUAAUUUUUAUUGAGAAAAAUCUUUUUAUUUAGUAUAUUAAAGAAAAAUAUUUAUAGUUAUAGUAAAUUAGUACUGUUAAGGAAUGAUGAAAUAAUUUAAAAUUUAAUUUUAAUUAAGUAUAUUUUAUUUAUAGUACCUUUUGUAUCAGGGUUAAUCUAAUAUAUUAACAUAUUUUUUGUUCUCGAUUUCAAAGGAGCUAACUUAAUAAUUUAGUUACUGUAUCAUAAUUAUUAAUAAUAUAAGUUAGGGGAGAAAUUUUAUUCGGCUUUGAAGGUAUCUAGUUUUUUAAGAAAUAAAUUCAAUUUAAACUUAAUACUUAGGUUUUAUAUUAUAAUAUAAACUAUAUGUUAAGUGAAAAAUUAUAGGGGACAAGCUCUAUACUUUUCUAUAAAUUUUUUAUUAAUAAAUUUCUGUAGGUUUAAAAUUAUCCAUCAUUAUAAAGUGUGUUAUAAUUUAUAUUUUUUAUUAAUUGAUUUUAUAAAAUUUUAGUAUAUUAUUAAAAUAUCAAAAUUAAUUUUAUAUUUUGGGAAAUAAUGAUUAAAUUAGUAUAAUGAAGUGUUUAUUAUGUUCUUAUGGUUAUGAUAAAAUAAGGAACUCGGCAAAUUUAGUUCUCGCCUGUUUAACAAAAACAUGUCCUUUUGAAUUUAAUUGAAGGUCUGACCUGCCCAGUGAUUAAUUUAACGGCCGCGGUAUACUGACCGUGCAAAGGUAGCAUAAUCAUUAGUCUUUUAAUAGAGGGCUGGAAUGAAAGGUUUAACGAGGAACUGACUGUCUCAUUUUAUUUGUUUUAAAAUUUAAUUUUUUAGUUAAAAAGCUAAAAUUUCAUUGGAAGACGAGAAGACCCUAUAGAUCUUUAUAGAAAUAUAUUUAAUUAUUAUUAUAUAAAUAUAAUUAUUUAUUUUUCUAUUUUGUUGGGGUGACAAAAAUAUAAAUAUAACUUUUUUAUUUAUUUAACAUUGAUUUAUGAAUAUAUGAUCCAUUAUUAGUGAUUAUUAGAUUAAGUUACCUUAGGGAUAACAGCGUAAUCCUCCUCCAGAGUUCAUAUUUACAGGAUGGGCUUGCGACCUCGAUGUUGGAUUAAGAUAAUAAUCAGGUGUAGCCGCUUGAUAUAUAGGUCUGUUCGACCUUUAAACCUUUAAAAA